rnacentral:rRNA from 1 species
UACAACUUUCAACAAGGAUCUCUUGGCUCUGGCAUCGAUGAAGAACGCAGCGAAAUGCGAUAAGUAGUGUGAAUUGCAGAAUUCAGUGAAUCAUCGAAUCUUUGAACGCACAU